GAAGCGGGCCAGACCGCCGCUGGUGCAAGGCCCGAAAGGGCGCACUGGAGGAAGGUCCGGACUGCACAGGGCAGCGUAGCAGCCAACGGCUGUCCACCGCGAGGUGAGGAUCAGAGCAACAGAGACGAGUCGCCGCAUCGGUCGCAAGGCCGGCGUGGCGGGUGAAACGGGCAAUCUCUACGCGCAGCAAUACCAAAUAGGCACACGUUGAUUCGGCCCGAGGAGUGUGCGGGUAGGUAGCACCGAGCCGGGCAGCGAUGCCCGGCCCAGAGGAAUGGCGGUCACGUUCCCGCGCCGCAAGGCAAGGGGAUGCACAGAAUCCGGCCUAUCGGUCCGCUUCACAC
rnacentral:RNase_P_RNA from 1 species